CCUACGGGAGGCAGCAGUGAGGAAUAUUGGUCAAUGGACGAGAGUCUGAACCAGCCAAGUAGCGUGAAGGAUGACUGCCCUAUGGGUUGUAAACUUCUUUUAUAUAGGAAUAAAAUGUUCCACGUGUGGGAUUUUGUAUGUACCAUAUGAAUAAGGAUCGGCUAAUUCCGUGCCAGCAGCCGCGGUAAUACGGAGGAUCCGAGCGUUAUCCGGAUUUAUUGGGUUUAAAGGGAGCGUAGGUGGAUUGUUAAGUCAGUUGUGAAAGUUUGCGGCUCAACCGUAAAAUUGCAGUUGAAACUGGCAGUCUUGAGUACAGUAGAGGUGGGCGGAAUUCGUGGUGUAGCGGUGAAAUGCUUAGAUAUCACGAAGAACUCCGAUUGCGAAGGCAGUUCACUGGACUGCAACUGACACUGAGGCUCGAAAGUGUGGGUAUCAAACAGGAUUAGAUACCCGUGUAGUC
rnacentral:rRNA from 1 species